GCUGGGUGUGGUGGUGCACACCUGUAAUCCCAGCAGCUCAGGAGGCUGAGGCAGGAGGAUCACAAGUUCAAAAUUGGUCUUAGCAACUUAGUGAGGCCCAAAGCAACUCAGUGAGCCUUGUUUCAA
rnacentral:sRNA from 1 species